UGGAUUGGUAUAAUAUUUUUACCACAGAUUGGAAAAUUAUUUGUAAAGUUGUUUUUUCUUCCAUCUUUAACAACUUGAUUUAAAAGAUUUCGGCCAAAUUGUUGGUCAGUAAAGGUGAUACGUGGAAUUAUUUGUGGAAAUAUGUGUCGGACGAUAAUCAUGAAGGAUGAGUUUUUCAAGUACAUGGUAAUUUCUGUUCCUUCACAUCCUACAUUCCAGCACUGAUGAACGAUAUGUAAGAUAGAAAUUAACUCUUGCUGUUCAAACUUACCCAACAAGUGUUCGACCGCUUCAUCAGAUGGUUCAGAACCAUGUACUGGGACUUAAUACUGAGGUAGCAGUUCUGAUUUAGAAAAGAUGUGACCCUGCCCAAAAUGGACAUCAGAUUCCAAAGGCUACAUCCAUUCUUCAUGUAAAGAUGGGACAGGAAACAAUAAUUGAGUGGGAUACUUCUACUUAACACAUUCAAGAUUAUAUUGUGUAAUUGAUAUUCUGAAGGAUAUAAAUUACUGAAGAAAAUAUCAUCAGUAACAUCAGGUCAUGUGUUCAAACUGAAGGAAUAGUGAAUCAGCAGGAAAGACAGCUCGGACCUUGUGUGCACCAAUUAACCAGAAUAUUGUUUUGCCUAUGCUAACUACAGAGCUGAAACACACUUGGAUAACAUUUAAUAUUAUCAACUUAAAACACAACAGAUUUGGAACAAUAACAAAACAGCCAAUGAUUGAGGAUGAUAUUUCCUAUUUCACCAUUGGUUACCACGAUUUCUACUUGUCUUCCUUGAUAUUCCAUCUUGUUUUCAUGGAAUUCAUCUAGAUAAAUUUGAUUAACCAUGUUUAAAAAUGAACAAAUGGAUGGAUAUAAUGACCAAGGAUUACACCUCAAACAUGGACUUCAGGAGACACUCGGGGAUUUUACUUCUAACAUGGACUUCAGCAGACACUCGGGGAUUUUACCUCUAACAUGGACUUCAGCAGACAGUCAGGGAUUUUACCUCUAACAUGGACUUCAGCAGACAGUCAGGGAUUUUACCUCUAACAUGGACUUCAGCAGACAGUCAGGGAUUUUACCUCUAACAUGGACUUCAGCAGACAGUCAGGGAUUUUACCUCUAACAUGGACUUCAGCAGACAGUCAGGGAUUUUACCUCUAACAUGGACUUCAGCAGACAGUCAGGGAUUUUACCUCUAACAUGGACUUCAGCAGACACUCAGGGAUUUUACCUCUAACAUGGACUUCAGCAGACAGUCAGGGAUUUUACCUCAAACAUGACUUAAGCCGACAGUAUAAUUGUAUUAUCUUAUCCCAAUUAUUGCCAAACAACUGAAAUCGAUCUGAAUUGUAUUUUGAAAUGAAUAACUUGGCCCUACAUGCAAUAGGCCUAUUGUCAUUUACUGAUGGAGGUGAAAGGCUUUCAUGAUUAUUAAAUGACAUGAAUCUAGAUCAAUUAAGAAGGUCACAAAACUUAAAUAAUUGAAGAAUAUUUCACAGCUUAUUGCAAAUUAGAGGUCAUGAAGAUUUGUUUGUUUUAGCAUUACAGCCCUGUUCAAGAUUUGUGGAUUUCAGGGCUAGAGUAAUACUGCCUUUCUACGGAUUUUAGGGUUAACUGGAGCAUUAAAACCUUGUUGUUGGAGAUUUGUGGAUUGAAGCAUUACAGUUCGGUUUGGGAUUUCUGGGUUUGUGGGAUAGCCUAGUUGGAGAUUUGUGAGAUUGAGAGGUAGCCUGGUUAGAGAUUUCUGAGUUAAUGUAUUACAGCCUGGUUGGAGAUUUGUGAGAUUGAGGGGUAGCCUGGUUAGAGAUUUCUCGGUUAAUGUAUUACAGCCUGGUUGGAGAUUUGUGAGAUUGAGGGGUAGCCUGAUUGGAGAUUUGUGAGAUUGAGAGGUAGCCUGGUUAGAGAUUUCUGGGUUAAUGUAUUACAGCCUGGUUGGAGAUUUGUGAGAUUGAGGGGUAGCCUAGUUGGAGAUUUGUGAGAUUGAGAGGUAGCCUGGUUAGAGAUUUCUCGGUUAAUGUAUUACAGCCUGGUUGGAGAUUUGUGAGAUUGAGGGGUAGCCUAGUUGGAGAUUUGUGAGAUUGAGAGGUAGCCUGGUUAGAGAUUUCUCGGUUAAUGUAUUACAGCCUGGUUGGAGAUUUGUGAGAUUGAGGGGUAGCCUAGUUGGAGAUUUGUGAGAUUGAGGGGUAGCCUGGUUAGAGAUUUCUGGGUUAAUGUAUUACAGCCUGAUUGGAGAUUUGUGAGAUUGAGGGGUAGCCUGAUUGGAGAUUUGUGAGAUUGAGGGGUAGCCUGGUUAGAGAUUUCUCGGUUAAUGUAUUACAGCCUGGUUGGAGAUUUGUGAGAUUGAGGGGUAGCCUGAUUGGAGAUUUGUGAGAUUGAGGGGUAGCCUGGUUAGAGAUUUCUCGGUUAAUGUACUACAGCCUGGUUGGAGAUUUGUGAGAUUGAGGGGUAGCCUAGUUGGAGAUUUGUGAGAUUGAGAGGUAGCCUGGUUAGAGAUUUCUCGGUUAAUGUAUUACAACCUGGUUGGAGAUUUGUGAGAUUGAGGGGUAGCCUAGUUGGAGAUUUGUGAGAUUGAGAGGUAGCCUGGUUAGAGAUUUCUCAGUUAAUGUAUUACAGCCUGGUUGGAGAUUUGUGAGAUUAAGAGGUAGCCUGGUUAGAGAUUUCUGAGUUAAUGUAUUACAGCCUGGUUGGAGAUUUGUGAGAUUGAGGGGUAGCCUGGUUAGAGAUUUCUGGGUUAAUGUAUUACAGCCUGGUUGGAGAUUUGUGAGAUUGAGAGGUAGCCUGGUUAGAGAUUUCUGGGUUAAUGUAUUACAGCCUGGUUGGAGAUUUGUGAGAUUGAGAGGUAGCCUGGUUAGAGAUUUCUGAGUUAAUGUAUUACAGCCUGGUUGGAGAUUUGUGAGAUUGAGGGGUAGCCUGAUUGGAGAUUUGUGAGAUUGAGGGGUAGCCUGGUUAGAGAUUUCUGGGUUAAUGUAUUACAACCUGGUUGGAGAUUUGUGAGAUUGAGGGGUAGCCUAGUUGGAGAUUUGUGAGAUUGAGAGGUAGCCUGGUUAGAGAUUUCUGAGUUAAUGUAUUACAGCCUGGUUGGAGAUUUGUGAGUUUGUGGGAUAGCCUAGUUGGAGAUUUGUGAGAUUGAGAGGUAGCCUGGUUAGAGAUUUCUGGGUUAAUGUAUUACAGCCUGAUUGGAGAUUUGUGAGAUUGAGGGGUAGCCUGGUUAGAGAUUUCUCGGUUAAUGUAUUACAGCCUGGUUGGAGAUUUGUGAGAUUGAGGGGUAGCCUGAUUGGAGAUUUGUGAGAUUGAGAGGUAGCCUGGUUAGAGAUUUCUGGGUUAAUGUAUUACAGCCUGAUUGGAGAUUUGUGAGAUUGAGGGGUAGCCUGGUUAGAGAUUUCUCGGUUAAUGUAUUACAGCCUGGUUGGAGAUUUGUGAGAUUGAGGGGUAGCCUGAUUGGAGAUUUGUGAGAUUGAGAGGUAGCCUGGUUAGAGAUUUCUGGGUUAAUGUAUUACAGCCUGGUUGGAGAUUUGUGAGAUUGAGGGGUAGCCUGGUUGGAGAUUUGUGAGAUUGAGAGGUAGCCUGGUUAGAGAUUUCUGGGUUAAUGUAUUACAGCCUGAUUGGAGAUUUGUGAGAUUGAGGGGUAGCCUGGUUAGAGAUUUCUCGGUUAAUGUAUUACAGCCUGGUUGGAGAUUUGUGAGUUUGUGGGAUAGCCUAGUUGGAGAUUUGUGAGAUUGAGAGGUAGCCUGGUUAGAGAUUUCUCGGUUAAUGUAUUACAGCCUGGUUGGAGAUUUGUGAGAUUGAGGGGUAGCCUGAUUGGAGAUUUGUGAGAUUGAGGGGUAGCCUGGUUAGAGAUUUCUCGGUUAAUGUAUUACAGCCUGAUUGGAGAUUUGUGAGAUUGAGGGGUAGCCUGAUUGGAGAUUUGUGAGAUUGAGGGGUAGCCUGGUUAGAGAUUUCUGGGUUAAUGUAUUACAGCCUGGUUGGAGAUUUGUGAGAUUAAGGGGUAGCCUGAUUGGAGAUUUGUGAGAUUGAGAGGUAGCCUGGUUAGAGAUUUCUCGGUUAAUGUAUUACAGCCUGGUUGGAGAUUUGUAGGUUGAAGCAUAAGAACUUCUUUUGAGAUAUGUGAGAUUGAGGGGUAGCUGGAUGGAAAUUUCUGUGUUGGUGUAUUAUAGCUGGUUGUGUAGCAUUACGGCCAAGUUGUAUCUUAAUGAUUUGAAGUAUCACAGUUGGGGUUUGAUUUGAACAGCCAGGUUGGAGGCUUGUUGGUUGGCCAGCUUAGGGGCUAGCUGGUUAGCCUUUUUGGAAAUUUAUGGGUUGAAGAAUACAGACAGGAUGUUGAUAUAAUAGUUGGAGCUUGAAAUAUGUUAGCUUGGGGCAUUAUGACCUGUGUUUGUAUUUAAUCCUGCUUGUACUUGCAUUAGUUAUGAAAAUCAUUAGGUGAUAACACCUAGGUUACGCCAGAGACAUGUCAUUGUAUGUAAGGGCUAUCACAGUGCUAUCAGUGUCUGUUUGAGGCAGAGAGUUCAGUUCAGACAUAGAUAAAAUUAGACUUUUUCCACUGCAACAUUGUAAAGCUUAUCAGUGUGUGUUUAUGCUAUCUGUUGUUUGCAUUGUAGGGAGGCUGAUUAGUGUAAGUCUGUGAUAAAAGCUUUGAUCCCCUAAGUUGCCUGAUAGCUUCUGUUGCAGGUAGUAGUAAGGGCAUGAUAAACAGAAAAUAACCGUAUACAUAGGGUUCCCACUGAACAUUACUUGGCUUCUCAUUCUUAGUGCUGGGUGUACCAUUUCCUUGUAUAUAAUGCAUUAUACAUGUGAAAAAUUUAGACUCGAUUCAUAAUCUAUAGUUAGGAUGAAAAUGACAAAAUAAUUACUUGGAUUAUUUCCUUUUAUGUUUUUU